UACGAAGGGGGCUAGCGUUGCUCGGAAUCACUGGGCGUAAAGCGCACGUAGGCCGAUUGUUAAGUCAGGGGUGAAAUCCUGGAGCUCAACUCCAGAACUGCCUUUGAUACUGAAGAUCUCGAGUCCGGGAGAGGUGAGUGGAACUGCGAGUGUAGAGGUGAAAUUCGUAGAUAUUCGCAAGAACACCAGUGGCGAAGGCGGCUCACUGGCCCGGUACUGACGCUGAGGCACGAAAGCGUGGGGAGCAAACAGG
rnacentral:rRNA from 1 species